rnacentral:tRNA from 1 species
GAGCCCGUAGCUCAGCCUGGUUAGAGCACUGCUCUUAUAUGAGAGUGUUUCGUUUUAGGAACACACCUUUAGAGUUAAGAGGUGAACUCUAAGAUAGGCAGGGGUCCUCGGUUCAAAUCCGAGCGGGCUCA